rnacentral:misc_RNA from 1 species
GAUGAAGAACGCAGCGAAAUGCGAUAAGUAAUGUGAAUUGCAGAACUCAGUGAAUCAUCGAAUCUUUGAACGCACAUUGCGCCCCCUGGCUUUCCGGGGGGCAUGCCUGUUCGAGCGUCAUUGCUGCCCUCAAGCACGGCUUGUGUGUUGGGCUUCCGUCCCUGGCAACGGGGACGGGCCCAAAAGGCAGUGGCGGCACCAUGUCUGGUCCUCGAGCGUAUGGGGCUUUGUCACCCGCUCCCGUAGGUCCAGCUGGCAGCUAGCCUCGCAACCAAUCUUUUUAACCAGGUUGACCUCGGAUCAGGUAGGGAUACCCGCUGAACUUAAGCAUAUCAAUAAGCGGAGGA